rnacentral:tRNA from 1 species
GCAGUGGUGACUCAGUGGCAGAGUUCUCGUCUUCCACGCAAGAGACCUGCGUUUGAUUCCUGGCCGUUGCA